AUUGAACGCUGGCGGCAGGCCUAACACAUGCAAGUCGAGCGGAUGAAGGGAGCUUGCUCCUGGAUUCAGCGGCGGACGGGUGAGUAAUGCCUAGGAAUCUGCCUGGUAGUGGGGGAUAACGUCCGGAAACGGGCGCUAAUACCGCAUACGUCCUGAGGGAGAAAGUGGGGGAUCUUCGGACCUCACGCUAUCAGAUGAGCCUAGGUCGGAUUAGCUAGUUGGUGGGGUAAAGGCCUACCAAGGCGACGAUCCGUAACUGGUCUGAGAGGAUGAUCAGUCACCCUGGAACUGAGACACGGUCCAGACCCCUACGGGAGGCAGCAGUGGGGAAUAUUGGACAAUGGGCGAAAGCCUGAUCCAGCCCUGCCGCGUGUGUGAAGAAGGUCUUCGGAUUGUAAAGCACUUUAAGUUGGGAGGAAGGGCAGUAAGUUAAUACCUUGCUGUUUUGACGUUACCAACAGAAUAAGCACCGGCUAACUUCGUG
rnacentral:rRNA from 1 species